GGGAGACAGGGCAGACUGGCAGACAGGGCAGACAAGGAAGACAGGGGAGACAGGGCAGGCUGGCAGACAGGGGAGACAAGGGAGACAAGGGAGGCUGGCAGACAAGGAAGACAGGGGAGACAGGGCAGGCUGGCAGACAGGGGAGACAGGGCAGGCUGGCAGACAGGGGAGACAAGGCAGACAGGGGAGACAGGGCAGGCUGGCAGACAGGGGAGACAAGGCAGACAGGGGAGACAAGGCAGACAGGGGAGACAAGGCGAGACAAGGCAGACAGGGGAGACAGGGCAGACAGGGGAGACAGGGCAGGCUGGCAGACAGGACAGACAGGGGAGACAGGGCAGGCUGGCAGACAGGGUAGACAGGACAGACAGGACAGACAGGGGAGACAGGACAGACAGGGCAGACAGGGGAGACAGGACAGACAGGACAGACAGGGGAGACAGGGGAGACAGGACAGACAGGGGAGACAGGACAGACAGGGCAGACAGGGUAGACAGGGGAGACAGGACAGACAGGGGAGACAGGGGAGACAGGACAGACAGGGGAGACAG
ensembl:lncRNA